UAUUGCGUCGUUAGAAUUUCAUGUGUACUAUUUACCUAUCCAGGUAUAUUACGUCAAGUGUGGAAGGUCAGAUCUAGACAACAUUGCUUCAGCACACGAAAUGUCGCUAAGUUUAAGCACUAGGAGUGAGACAUUCUGCUGGUAUAUUUCUUGUCUAAUUAAAGACUUUCAUUACAAUAUGUAUGUAGCUACUGUGUUAAAUUGUGAACUUAAAGAUAACGUUAGUUAAUAAUAUAGUGAACAAAUUAAUUUAGUACCAGUGAAAUCUUUUAAGAUGAGGAAGUUACGAAAGUUUACGUAUAUAUUUUUAGUUAAAUAUUAGAAAAACACAGGAUCAACGACAAUAAUAAAUAGAGAGUUAGAGAACAGAGUAUCUUGAACGGUGGAGAUGAGGUAAACCUACAACUGGUUCGUAAAUUCCAGGCGCCAUUGAAGUGCCUCUCCUUACACCGCUAUGGACCCGGCACCCGCACAGUGAAUCCAUGGGAUGCUGAGAAGUUUCGUCUCGUUUCGCCUUUAGCAUAUUUUUUUACUGGAUGGGAGAAAUUGAAACAAUACAAUAUUGUCUUAAUUACAAACCACAUAUAAUAUACAUCUUUUAACCUCUC